rnacentral:rRNA from 1 species
AUUGAACGCUGGCGGCAUGCCUUACACAUGCAAGUCGAACGGUAACAGGUCUUCGGAUGCUGACGAGUGGCGAACGGGUGAGUAAUACAUCGGAACGUGCCUAGUAGUGGGGGAUAACUACUCGAAAGAGUGGCUAAUACCGCAUGAGAUCUACGGAUGAAAGCAGGGGAUCGCAAGACCUUGUUCUACUCGAGCGGCCGAUGGCAGAUUAGGUAGUUGGUGGGAUAAAAGCUUACCAAGCCGACGAUCUGUAGCUGGUCUGAGAGGACGAUCAGCCACACUGGGACUGAGACACGGCCCAGACUCCUACGGGAGGCAGCAGUGGGGAAUUUUGGACAAUGGGCGCAAGCCUGAUCCAGCAAUGCCGCGUGCAGGAUGAAGGCCUUCGGGUUGUAAACUGCUUUUGUACGGAACGAAAAGCCCUGGGUUAAUACCCUGGGGUCAUGACGGUACCGUAAGAAUAAGCACCGGCUAACUACGUGCCAGCCGCCGCUGUAACAC